GGGUUGUGAGGUUAAGCGACUAAGCGUACACGGUGGAUGCCCUGGCAGUCAGAGGCGAUGAAGGACGUGCUAAUCUGCGAUAAGCGUCGGUAAGGUGAUAUGAACCGUUAUAACCGGCGAUUUCCGAAUGGGGAAACCCAGUGUGUUUCGACACACUAUCAUUAACUGAAUCCAUAGGUUAAUGAGGCGAACCGGGGGAACUGAAACAUCUAAGUACCCCGAGGAAAAGAAAUCAACCGAGAUUCCCCCAGUAGCGGCGAGCGAACGGGGAGCAGCCCAGAGCCUGAAUCAGUGUGUGUGUUAGUGGAAGCGUCUGGAAAGGCGCGCGAUACAGGGUGACAGCCCCGUACACAAAAAUGCACAUGCUGUGAGCUCGAUGAGUAGGGCGGGACACGUGGUAUCCUGUCUGAAUAUGGGGGGACCAUCCUCCAAGGCUAAAUACUCCUGACUGACCGAUAGUGAACCAGUACCGUGAGGGAAAGGCGAAAAGAACCCCGGCGAGGGGAGUGAAAAAGAACCUGAAACCGUGUACGUACAAGCAGUGGGAGCACGCUUAGGCGUGUGACUGCGUACCUUUUGUAUAAUGGGUCAGCGACUUAUAUUCUGUAGCAAGGUUAACCGAAUAGGGGAGCCGAAGGGAAACCGAGUCUUAACUGGGCGUUAAGUUGCAGGGUAUAGACCCGAAACCCGGUGAUCUAGCCAUGGGCAGGUUGAAGGUUGGGUAACACUAACUGGAGGACCGAACCGACUAAUGUUGAAAAAUUAGCGGAUGACUUGUGGCUGGGGGUGAAAGGCCAAUCAAACCGGGAGAUAGCUGGUUCUCCCCGAAAGCUAUUUAGGUAGCGCCUCGUGAAUUCAUCUCCGGGGGUAGAGCACUGUUUCGGCAAGGGGGUCAUCCCGACUUACCAACCCGAUGCAAACUGCGAAUACCGGAGAAUGUUAUCACGGGAGACACACGGCGGGUGCUAACGUCCGUCGUGAAGAGGGAAACAACCCAGACCGCCAGCUAAGGUCCCAAAGUCAUGGUUAAGUGGGAAACGAUGUGGGAAGGCCCAGACAGCCAGGAUGUUGGCUUAGAAGCAGCCAUCAUUUAAAGAAAGCGUAAUAGCUCACUGGUCGAGUCGGCCUGCGCGGAAGAUGUAACGGGGCUAAACCAUGCACCGAAGCUGCGGCAGCGACGCUUAUGCGUUGUUGGGUAGGGGAGCGUUCUGUAAGCCUGUGAAGGUGUGCUGUGAGGCAUGCUGGAGGUAUCAGAAGUGCGAAUGCUGACAUAAGUAACGAUAAAGCGGGUGAAAAGCCCGCUCGCCGGAAGACCAAGGGUUCCUGUCCAACGUUAAUCGGGGCAGGGUGAGUCGACCCCUAAGGCGAGGCCGAAAGGCGUAGUCGAUGGGAAACAGGUUAAUAUUCCUGUACUUGGUGUUACUGCGAAGGGGGGACGGAGAAGGCUAUGUUGGCCGGGCGACGGUUGUCCCGGUUUAAGCGUGUAGGCUGGUUUUCCAGGCAAAUCCGGAAAAUCAAGGCUGAGGCGUGAUGACGAGGCACUACGGUGCUGAAGCAACAAAUGCCCUGCUUCCAGGAAAAGCCUCUAAGCAUCAGGUAACAUCAAAUCGUACCCCAAACCGACACAGGUGGUCAGGUAGAGAAUACCAAGGCGCUUGAGAGAACUCGGGUGAAGGAACUAGGCAAAAUGGUGCCGUAACUUCGGGAGAAGGCACGCUGAUAUGUAGGUGAAGUCCCUUGCGGAUGGAGCUGAAAUCAGUCGAAGAUACCAGCUGGCUGCAACUGUUUAUUAAAAACACAGCACUGUGCAAACACGAAAGUGGACGUAUACGGUGUGACGCCUGCCCGGUGCCGGAAGGUUAAUUGAUGGGGUCAGCGCAAGCGAAGCUCUUGAUCGAAGCCCCGGUAAACGGCGGCCGUAACUAUAACGGUCCUAAGGUAGCGAAAUUCCUUGUCGGGUAAGUUCCGACCUGCACGAAUGGCGUAAUGAUGGCCAGGCUGUCUCCACCCGAGACUCAGUGAAAUUGAACUCGCUGUGAAGAUGCAGUGUACCCGCGGCAAGACGGAAAGACCCCGUGAACCUUUACUAUAGCUUGACACUGAACAUUGAGCCUUGAUGUGUAGGAUAGGUGGGAGGCUUUGAAGUGUGGACGCCAGUCUGCAUGGAGCCGACCUUGAAAUACCACCCUUUAAUGUUUGAUGUUCUAACGUUGACCCGUAAUCCGGGUUGCGGACAGUGUCUGGUGGGUAGUUUGACUGGGGCGGUCUCCUCCUAAAGAGUAACGGAGGAGCACGAAGGUUGGCUAAUCCUGGUCGGACAUCAGGAGGUUAGUGCAAUGGCAUAAGCCAGCUUGACUGCGAGCGUGACGGCGCGAGCAGGUGCGAAAGCAGGUCAUAGUGAUCCGGUGGUUCUGAAUGGAAGGGCCAUCGCUCAACGGAUAAAAGGUACUCCGGGGAUAACAGGCUGAUACCGCCCAAGAGUUCAUAUCGACGGCGGUGUUUGGCACCUCGAUGUCGGCUCAUCACAUCCUGGGGCUGAAGUAGGUCCCAAGGGUAUGGCUGUUCGCCAUUUAAAGUGGUACGCGAGCUGGGUUUAGAACGUCGUGAGACAGUUCGGUCCCUAUCUGCCGUGGGCGCUGGAGAACUGAGGGGGGCUGCUCCUAGUACGAGAGGACCGGAGUGGACGCAUCACUGGUGUUCGGGUUGUCAUGCCAAUGGCACUGCCCGGUAGCUAAAUGCGGAAGAGAUAAGUGCUGAAAGCAUCUAAGCACGAAACUUGCCCCGAGAUGAGUUCUCCCUGACUCCUUGAGAGUCCUGAAGGAACGUUGAAGACGACGACGUUGAUAGGCCGGGUGUGUAAGCGCAGCGAUGCGUUGAGCUAACCGGUACUAAUGAACCGUGAGGCUUAACCUUACAACGCCGAAGGUGUUU
rnacentral:rRNA from 1 species